AGGGAAUAUUGCACAAUGGAGGAAACUCUGAUGCAGCGACGCCGCGUGAGUGAUGAAGGACUUCGGUUCGUAAAGCUCUGUCGUAUGGGAAUAAAAAAAUGAAGGUACCAUGCAAGAAAGGAUCGGCUAACUUCGUGCCAGCAGCCGCGGUAAGACGAGGGAUCCUAGCGUUGUUCGGAAUCAUUGGGCGUAAAGCGGAUGUAGGUGGCUUUGUAAGUCAGGUGUGAAAGCCCAGGGCUCAACCCUGGAAGUGCAUUUGAUACUGCGAAGCUUGAGUGCUGGAGAGGCUAUUAGAAUACCUGGUGUAGUGGUGAAAUACGUAGAUAUCAGGUGGAAUACCGGAGGCGAAGGCGGAUAGCUGGCCAGACACUGACACUCAGAUCCGAAAGUGUGGGGAUCAAACAGGA
rnacentral:rRNA from 1 species